rnacentral:rRNA from 1 species
GAUAUGGCUCAGAACGAACGCUGGUGGCGUGUCUAUACAUGCAAGUCGAGCGAGGCAGCAAUGCCGAGCGGCGAACGGGUGAGUAACGCGUAAGCAAUCUGGCCCCAUAUCAGGGAAAUACCCGUGCCAAACGCGCGGUUAAUGUCCAGGAGAGUGGCCUUCCGCAUGGAGGGUUGACUAGAGAUUUAUCGGUAUGGGAUGAGCUUGCGUCCGAUUAGCUAGUUGGCGGGGCAACGGCCACCAAGGCGACGAUCGGUAGCCGGCCUGAGAGGGUGAUCGGCCACAUUGGGACUGAGAUACGGCCCAGACUCCUACGGGAGGCAGCAGUAGGGAAUAUUGCACAAUGGGGGAAACCCUGAUGCAGCAACGCCACGUAGUGGGAAGAAGCAUUUCGGUGUGUAAACCACUGUCAUGAGGGAAUAAGGCCCUUAUUCGUAAGGGAUUGAAUGUACCUUGAGAGGAAGCACCGGCAAACUUCGUGCCAGCAGCCGC